GGGGCGAGCCGUGAAGAUGGCGGCAGUGGUGGAGGUUGAGGUUGGAGGUGGUGCUGCUGGGGAACGGGAGCUGGAUGAGGUUGAUAUGUCAGAUCUCUCUCCAGAGGAGCAAUGGAGGGUCGAGCACGCACGCAUGCAUGCCAAGCACCGUGGCCAUGAAGCUAUGCAUGCUGAAAUGGUCCUCAUCCUCAUCGCUACCUUGGUGGUGGCCCAGCUGCUCCUGGUGCAGUGGAAGCAGAGGCACCCACGCUCCUACAAUUAGAGACAGGGUUUCACUGUGUUAGCCAGGAUGGUCUCGAUCUCCUGACCUCGUGAUCCGCCCGCCUCGGCCUCCCAAAGUGCUGAGAUUACAGGCGUGAGCCACUGCGCCUGGCCGAUUUUUACAACCUAUUCUGAAGAAAAUGGUGACCCUCUUUCAGAUGUGGGUUGUUCCCCUCUAUUUCACAGUGAAGCUGCACUGGUGGAGGUUCCUAGUGAUCUGGAUCUUGUUCUCUGCUGUCACAGCCUUUGUUACCUUCCGAGCCACCCGAAAACCUCUAGUACAGACAACCCCAAGGUUGGUUUAUAAGUGGUUCCUGCUAAUCUAUAAAAUCAGCUAUGCCACUGGCAUCGUUGGCUACAUGGCUGUCAUGUUUACCCUCUUUGGUCUUAACUUAUUAUUCAAGAUCAAACCAGAAGAUGCCAUGGACUUUGGCAUCUCCCUUCUCUUCUAUGGCCUCUACUAUGGAGUUCUUGAACGGGACUUUGCAGAAAUGUGUGCAGACUACAUGGCAUCUACCAUAGGGUUCUACAGCGAGUCGGGCAUGCCUACCAAACAUCUUUCAGACAGCGUGUGUGCUGUGUG
rnacentral:sRNA from 1 species